rnacentral:rRNA from 1 species
GCUACACCAUAGACUGUGAGUUGCGAACGGGUGAGUAACGCGUAGGUAACCUGCCUAUUAGAGGGGGAUAACUAUUGGAAACGAUAGCUAAUACCGCAUAACAGUAUGUAACACAUGUUAGAUGCUUGAAAGAUGCAAUUGCAUCGCUAGUAGAUGGACCUGCGUUGUAUUAGCUAGUAGGUAGGGUAAUGGCCUACCUAGGCGACGAUACAUAGCCGACCUGAGAGGGUGAUCGGCCACACUGGGACUGAGACACGGCCCAGACUCCUACGGGAGGCAGCAGUAGGGAAUCUUCGGCAAUGGGGGGAACCCUGACCGAGCAACGCCGCGUGAGUGAAGAAGGUUUUCGGAUCGUAAAGCUCUGUUGUUAAGGAAGAACGAGUGUGAAAAUGGAAAGUUCAUACUGUGACGGUACUUAACCAGAAAGGGACGGCUAACUACGUGCCAGCAGCCGCGGUAAUACGUAGGUCCCGAGCGUUGUCCGGAUUUAUUGGGCGUAAAGCGAGCGCAGGCGGUUAGAAAAGUCUGAAGUGAAAGGCAGUGGCUCAACCAUUGUAGGCUUUGGAAACUGUUUAACUUGAGUGCAGAAGGGGAGAGUGGAAUUCCAUGUGUAGCGGUGAAAUGCGUAGAUAUAUGGAGGAACACCGGUGGCGAAAGCGGCUCUCUGGUCUGUAACUGACGCUGAGGCUCGAAAGCGUG